UACGAAGGGGGCUAGCGUUGUUCGGAAUUACUGGGCGUAAAGCGCACGUAGGCGGACAUUUAAGUCAGGGGUGAAAUCCUGGAGCUCAACUCCAGAACUGCCUUUGAUACUGAGGAUCUUGAGUUCGGGAGAGGUGAGUGGAACUGCGAGUGUAGAGGUGAAAUUCGUAGAUAUUCGCAAGAACACCAGUGGCGAAGGCGGCUCACUGGCCCGAUACUGACGCUGGGGCACGAAAGCGUGGGGAGCAAACAGGG
rnacentral:rRNA from 1 species